ensembl:snoRNA
AUCCUCCUGUAGUUCAUGAGAGCAAAGAUGACGUAUUCACACGCAGGUGUGAGAUGUGCCACCCUCAAACCUUGUUAUAAUGGUUGGCACAUUACCCAUCUGAAA